AUGGUUGAAUUAUUUUUUGUGUGUACACCGAAAACUGUAGGGGCUACUUACCUGACACUAAAUAUUUGCAACCCACCUAAAUAUUUAAGCAAUUUUACGUGUCUUCCAAUAAACCUGCACAACAUGAUUGCACAUCGUUCGGGCAGAUUUCUCCUCCAUUGUCAUGAUGAUUUGGCAGCAUGUUUGGAGAGAAAAAAUGACAGGAUCUUCGAUCUGAAGGCAGUGAACUUAAUGGCAAUCUGUGAUCGCAUCUCAGAGGAGAUAUACACAUACACUUGCAUUUGGCUAAGUCUGAAAGAUGGAAACCAGGGUGCAAGUCUGUGGGCAGUGGGUCGGGCACACGACCACCAGCUGCUACUACUUGUGGACUGCUUUAGUAGCCGCAUGUUCCCGAUAUGA
rnacentral:rRNA from 1 species